rnacentral:lncRNA from 1 species
CCGAGGAUUCAAACAUCGAUUUCCGAUACGAAAAUAACGCUUGUUGCAAUCGCUUACUGUCACUUUAUAACGGCACGAUUACAAGAGUCGAUAAAAACCUUUAUUAUUGCGACAAUUGAAAGAAACAUUUCGAAUGCAGUACGAAUAGCAAAUCACACUCGGCGUACUGUUCCAGUACGAAUAGCCACUUCGUAUGGACCAAAGGUGAUGGAAAUUGUCUAUACAGAGCCUGUUCUAAAUUACUUUGUGGCAAAGAGGAUCUUUAUAAUUUAUUGAGAGAUCUUACCAACAUUGAGCUCUUUAAUAAGCAAGAGUUUUAUGCAUUCCAUCCAUACAUUAAAGAAAAUUCAAAGUUAUUCAAAUCCGAGAAUAGUGUUUUUUCAGCAGCCGCAUCUGACUCAGCCCUAGGACAUGGUUAUGACCGCAAGGAUCCCAACAGCAGGGUAAAAGUUGUUGAGCAUGAAGCCAUCCGAAAUGCGAACCCUGGUACCUUUUCCUCUCUUUUGUGUAUGCUAGCCUUGUCAUCUGUUACUGGAAUGAACAUUAAAUCAGUUUACCCUGAGAACGCAGCAGCACCGAACAAGUAUUCUCAAUUUUUUUUAAAUGGAACUAUACAACCAAGGCAGACACGUGUAAUUUUCCAACUUGGUCAACCAACUAAACUUUUUCUCUUAUGGACAAUUGAUGGUGUGCAUACUCUGCCUGGUUUGACUGCUAACUUCAACCCAAACCACUUUGUACAACUUGUUGAAGUUUUAACCAAGGAAGAUGUCCCAACUAACUGAAGAAGUGCUCACAAUCUCAGCAACAAAAAAUUACUGAUCUUUUUUCUCGCCCUUCCCAAAGUACGACAAAGUCACAAAAUUCAGACGAAAAGCCAUCAACAUCUUCUAUUGUCAAGGAUGAGCACAAACCUGUAAAGGAAUUCACGUGAUUCCCUUGGGAUCACACUAAAACAAAAACCUAGUACUUCUGGCGAAUCAUCCCUGAUGCGAAAUAAGGCAGAUAUUUCAGAUGUUGACCCAUUGGAUAUUGGACAUUUUGUUUCAGUGACAACAAUCGAUGAUGAUACCAAGCUUAAUUUAAUUAACAAUCAUUGGAAGCCAUCACAAUCUUUCAGUUUUCCUUGUUCAUCUUCGCGGCGAAAAUUUUGUCUUACUUGGCUAAAUCGGUGCUCUUGGUUAUGUUACUCUAAACUUUUCGAUGGGGCCUUUUGUCUUUCUUGUGUUCUAUUUGGUAAAGAAACUGGGCAUAAUGGCUCCAAAUUAAUAAAGCUGUUCAAGGAACCAUUAACGAAUUGGCAAAGUGCUGCUUCAAAACUUGAGCAACAUCAAAAAUCUUCCGUGAUCCACCGUGAUUCUAUGUUGCGCAUUUCAAGAAAAUUAUGACAGGCGAAGCCAUGGGUAUUGAUGAACAAACAGAUCAAAUGAGGAGCGCUCGUAUUCAGCAGAACGAUCUAUCCUAACCUCCAUCACUAAGACGAUCCUUUUGGCUGGAAAACAGAAUAUCGCUUUAAGAGGACAUCGUGACAACUCCAAGUAUUAUCUUUCUACCAAUCCUGGUAACUUCCAAUCCCUUCUUGAUUUCCGAGUCGAUGCAGGUGACGAAACCCUUCAACGUCAUUUUGAGAGUGGCAAUAAGAAUGCGACUUAUCGUUCCAAGACAAUCCAAAACAAGCUCAUUAAGGUCUGUGGCGACCAGAUUCGCGAUAAAAUCGUGGCUGAGAUAAAUAACAGUAAUUGUCCAAUAUACUCGGUUUUUGGUGAUGAAGCGACAGACUGCGACAGUAAAGAACAAAUGUCCAUUGUCCUGCGAUAUGUUGAUUCGAAGAAAGAAAUUAACGAAAGAUUCAUAGAAUUUGUUGAAUGCGAAGAAGGUGUUUCAGGCGAAGCAUUAGCGAACAACAUCGAAGGAACUUUGUAAGAAGUUGGUCUUCCUCUUUCAAAUCUUCGUGGUCAAGGUUACGAUGGUUCAAGUGCGAUGCCUAGUCAGACAAAAGGUGUCUCUGGGCGUAUUUUAGAAAAGCAUUCGAAAGCAUUGUAUGUCCACUGUUCCAGCCAUCGCUUGAAUCUUGUUGUUGCCAAAACUUGUGGGUUAAACUCUGUUCAAAAAAUGUUGGAUCAUGCACAGAAGAUCUCUAGUUUUUUCAGUCCAUCUCCAAACCGAAUGCAAUUGCUGAGAAAGGAAAUGGCAAAGAUUGGUUUGAAGCGCCAGAAGCUUGGAGCUCCUUCGACAACGCGUUGGGUUGAACGGAUCUCUACUCUAGGUGGAUUUGUGGAUGCGUUUGAGGCCAUCUUCAACAGCUCGGAUUACAAUGACUUCAACAAUUCGAGUUCUGAUGCUGGUCUUUUUUUCACUCAAUUCAGAAGUUUGAAUUCAUUGCCACUCUUGUAAUUAUUACCAAUAUCCUUGAUCACACCUUGUCUUUGACCGUUAAAUUGCAACGUCGGAAAAUUGAUGUCGCACAGUCCCUCAAGCAAAUCAAUCUGCUAAAGGUCCAGCUGAAGAAAAUGCGAGAGUCAGUGGACGAGAUUCAUAAUAAGUAGUCCGUAGAAGUUAGUGAAUCCUUUCCUAGAAUCUGCAAAGUCCAAACUACUCGGGAUAACUAUAACGUAUCCAAUGCCCGCAAUUAUUUUCGACUGAAGCUUACUAUUCCAAUUUUGGAUCACUUGAUUGGAAAAAUGGAACAUCGUUUCCCAUCAGAAAUGUGUAAUCUCUAUAACGGAUUUUACGUUAUUCCUGGUAUUUUUCUUAAUUGUAAAGGCAAAGACUGGAAGACGGAGUUUAUGAAGUCCGUUGCAGCAUAUAGUGAUGACAUGCCAAACUUUCGUUCAAUCCAUGCCGAGCUGAGUUUGUGGGAAACCAGUUGGACAGAAGGCUUUGAAAAAGUCUCUACGAAACUGUAACGAACUCGCUUUUCCGAAUAUCUUCACCGCCCUUAAGAUACUGGCAGUCGUACCAGUUACUACGUGUGAAUGCGAAAGAUCCAUUUCUGCUCUUCGCCGUAUGAAAACAUGGUUUCAAGAAGCACGAUGGUUAACGAACGGCUAAAUGGCCUUGCGCAGAUGCAUAAAAGUGACGAUAUUACCGUAGAUAUACAGGAAAUAAUAAAUACAUUUGCAAGACAGAAUCCUACAAGGAUGCAAUUCUUGGACAUAUUAAAUGAUAAAAAAGAAAAGAAUAAAGCAAAGUGAAUUCAAUAUCUAAUAUCCUUCAACCCUUCUCUAAAGAUUUACUGUGUUAUCUGCCGCUGUUGGAAGAUCCGUCGCCUUGAACUUUUCUCUAAAGAUUUACUUGUUAUCUGCCGCUGUUGGAAGAUCCUUUACCUUGAACAUUUUAUUAAAGAUUUACUGUGUUAU